rnacentral:rRNA from 1 species
AGCCAUCAUUUAAAGAGUGCGUAAUAGCUCACUAGUCGAGUGACACUGCGCCGAAAAUGUACCGGGGCUAAACAUAUUACCGAAGCUGUGGAUUGUCCUUUGGACAAUGGUAGGAGAGCGUUCUAAGGGCGUUGAAGCAUGAUCGUAAGGACAUGUGGAGCGCUUAGAAGUGAGAAUGCCGGUGUGAGUAGCGAAAGACGGGUGAGAAUCCCGUCCACCGAUUGACUAAGGUUUCCAGAGGAAGGCUCGUCCGCUCUGGGUUAGUCGGGUCCUAAGCUGAGGCCGACAGGCGUAGGCGAUGGAUAACAGGUUGAUAUUCCUGUACCACCUAUAAUCGUUUUAAUCGAUGGGGGGACGCAGUAGGAUAGGCGAAGCGUG